rnacentral:rRNA from 1 species
UGGGGAAUUUUGGACAAUGGGCGAAAGCCUGAUCCAGCAAUGCCGCGUGUGUGAAGAAGGCCUUCGGGUUGUAAAGCACUUUUGUCCGGAAAGAAAUCCUUGGCUCUAAUACAGUCGGGGGAUGACGGUACCGGAAGAAUAAGCACCGGCUAACUACGUGCCAGCAGCCGCGGUAAUACGUAGGGUGCAAGCGUUAAUCGGAAUUACUGGGCGUAAAGCGUGCGCAGGCGGUUUGCUAAGACCGAUGUGAAAUCCCCGGGCUCAACCUGGGAACUGCAUUGGUGACUGGCAGGCUAGAGUAUGGCAGAGGGGGGUAGAAUUCCACGUGUAGCAGUGAAAUGCGUAGAGAUGUGGAGGAAUACCGAUGGCGAAGGCAGCCCCCUGGGCCAAUACUGACGCUCAUACACGAAAGCGUGGGGAGCAAACAGGAUUAGAUACCCUGGUAGUCCACGCCCUAAACGAUGUCAACUAGUUGUUGGGGAUUCAUUUUCCUUAGUAACGUAGCUAACGCGUGAAGUUGACCGCCUGGGGAGUACGGUCGCAAGAUUAAAACUUAAAGGAAUUGACGGGGUCAUAGCUGUUUCCU